rnacentral:rRNA from 1 species
GAUGAACGCUAGCGGCAGGCUUAAUACAUGCAAGUCGAGGGGUAGCAAGAUUGUAGCAAUACAAUUGUUGACGACCGGCAAACGGGUGCGGAACACGUACACAACCUUCCUACAAGUGGGGAAUAGCCCAGAGCAAUUUGGAUUAAUACCCCGUAACAUAGCGAUGUGGCAUCACAUUGCUAUUAUAGCUUCGGCGCUUGUUGAUGGGUGUGCGGCUGAUUAGAUAGUUGGCGGGGUAACGGCCCACCAAGUCUAAGAUCAGCAGCUGAUGGGAGAGCAUGAUCAGCCACACGGGCACUGAGACACGGGCCCGACUCCUACGGGAGGCAGCAGUAAGGAAUAUUGGACAAUGGACGCAAGUCUGAUCCAGCCAUGCCGCGUGAAGGAUUAAGGUCCUCUGGAUUGUAAACUUCUUUUAUAAGGGACGAAAAAAGGUCUUUCUAGAUCGUCUGACGGUACCUUAUGAAUAAGCACCGGCUAACUCCGUGCCAGCCGCCGCCGUAAAAC